CGUCCUGCGGGAGUCAUGAGAGAAACACGCUGCAUUGAAAGUGUUGUCAGAAUGAGAGACCAACAAUGAACUUGACACUUAUUGUUUUUAUUGUUUCUUCCUGUUAACUUGUCAGCAUGUGGCUGCAGAAAAUGGGGAGCGGUGACAAAGUGGACAAUAUGCAGUACAACGCUUGAAGCGUCCACGAAAGUAUGACUAAAGAGUUCUGCAGUGUUCCGGUUUCCAAUAACACUUGAGUAGGCGGAGGAGGAGCGACAUGGAUGAAACGGAGUCUUUUCAGAGCAAAAGUAAUCUGGAAGAUGCAAACUUGUUGUCUGGUCCGCCCACGCUCGCUCUCUCAACUCGCCAAGAAGUCUCGGCGUUGGACGCAUGGGAAAGAUGGGACGCAGAGUCCAUCUGGCCCGACGGCGGAGUCAGCCAGCGGAACAGAUGUGCGAGGGACUUUGAUGUAGAAAGCGGAUCACGGCAACGAAGAUGAUGUUUGAAGUGAGAAGAAUGAUGUUCAAUGAUGUUUGAAGUGAGAAGAAGAGUGAAGUUGACAGAAGAUGUGAGGAUGACCUGCGGCAGGAUCAGGACCAAACUGACAGCAGAUCAGUAAAAUGCCAGAUUCCCCACUAAGUUCUCAUGGGAAUGCAAUUCCUAAGCCCCGGGUGCUUUCACUUUGUGCUGGUGAACAUCAAAGCGUCUUCUCCAGAAUGGAAAGUGACUGCAGUCGACGACAUCAUCCACUUCGGGGUCGCUUCCUGUAAGGCGCGCAUGGCCGUAAUCAACCCGAGCUAAUUCCCCGAGCGUUCCGCUCUUUCGCCUCGCGUCCAUCCCGACUGAUGUGAAGUGGCAUCAAUUAAGUGGA